GACGAACGCUGGCGGCGUGCUUAACACAUGCAAGUCGAACGGUGAAGCGCCUUCCUUUUUGGUGGGUGUGGAUGAGUGGCGAACGGGUGAGUAACACGUGAGUAACCUGCCCCCUUCUUCUGGAUAACCGCAUGAAAGUGUGGCUAAUACGGGAUAUUCUGGGUCUGUCGCAUGAUGGGUCUGGGCAAGAUAUUGUUUCGGUGGGGGAGGGGCUCGCGGCCUAUCAGCUUGUUGGUGGGGUGAUGGCCUACCAAGGCGGUGACGGGUAGCCGGCCUGAGAGGGUGGACGGUCACACUGGGACUGAGACACGGCCCAGACUCCUACGGGAGGCAGCAGUGGGGAAUAUUGCACAAUGGGCGCAAGCCUGAUGCAGCGACGCCGCGUGAGGGAUGGAGGCCUUCGGGUUGUGAACCUCUUUCGCCAGUGAAGCAGGCCUGCCUCGUUUGUGGGUGGGUUGACGGUAGCUGGAGAAGAAGCGCCGGCUAACUACGUG
rnacentral:rRNA from 1 species